rnacentral:rRNA from 1 species
GAUGAACGCUGGCGGCGUGCCUAAUACAUGCAAGUCGAGCGAAUGGAUUAAGAGCUUGCUCUUAUGAAGUUAGCGGCGGACGGGUGAGUAACACGUGGGUAACCUGCCCAUAAGACUGGGAUAACUCCGGGAAACCGGGGCUAAUACCGGAUAACAUUUUGAACCGCAUGGUUCGAAAUUGAAAGGCGGCUUCGGCUGUCACUUAUGGAUGGACCCGCGUCGCAUUAGCUAGUUGGUGAGGUAACGGCUCACCAAGGCAACGAUGCGUGGCCGACCUGAGAGGGUGAUCAGCCACACUGGGACUGAGACACGGCCCAGACUCCUACGGGAAGCAGCAGUAGGGAAUCUUCCGCAAUGGACGAAAGUCUGACGGAGCAACGCCGCGUGAGUGAUGAAGGCUUUCGGGUCGUAAAACUCUGUUGUUAGGGAAGAACAAGUGCUAGUUGAAUAAGCUGGCACCUUGACGGUACCUAACCAGAAAGCCACGGCUAACUACGUGCCAGCCGCCGCGGUAA